rnacentral:lncRNA from 1 species
UGGUGAUAUCCAUUGGUGCCACAAUAGUUCACCAUCAGGAUUUGGUUUGUGGUUCGACACUUUGGUCAUUAUUUAUUUGUAUCUUCUGUAACAAAAACAAUUUGUUUUAGACUCCCGACUGGAGUUUAGAAAAUGUGGUUUCGACCUCAGGGAAUUGGGGUUUGCACAUGUUUCCUGGAGUGUUGCAUGAAUCCUGACGAGAGAUGGAUAACCUGUCACAAAAUAAUCAGAAGCAAAAUGAUCCAAACAGAAGACGAUAUUUUCCUUUUCUGCACAGUUGUAAAGGCGUUUGAACAUAUGGCUGUCCGAGGCUCUAAGAAAUAUCACAGUCGAAAUUUUUGUUUUUCUUUUUCUUUUUCUUGUACCACCACAUGUAGCGAAUUAAAUUAUAAAUUACAUUAAAGUCCAUUAAGGCAGUCCAACCUUAUCCAUAAGGGGCAAAUAUUACAAUUUUUUUCUUUUUCGUGCAAAGUUGAUUUUUAGGAUUGCUGCUUGUUAGAUCUAACAUUAGUAAGAUCAACGUAUUCUAGUUGUUUAAAACAAUCAUUAAGCAUCAAUAAACGAUAUAGCAUGUAACUAUGUAAGUUAUGCAUACUUCAAGGAAAGUUCUUUAAGAUGGAGCUCAAAUUGUCUUCCUGUAUGUUGCUGCUGAUAUGUAUGUUGUCCUUUCAUUCUACUAAAUUAUAUGCUAACCAUGAGUGGCAACUGUUUUUCCAGUAACUUUAACAAUGGUGCACUACUUCUUUUUUAGGUGAUAGCUAACUUCUCUUCUAAUUUUGCAAAAGUUAUACAUAUUUCUUUAUGUAUUCAUAUGUGCUUGCAUGUGUUUAUACACCAAUCAAUUUGAUCUAUAAUGAGAAUAUCUUGAACAGUUGGGUUCAAUAAGAGAAAGUGGCAAUGCAACAAUUGAAAUGUCAUAUUAUUUUGAGUUACACUCUGUAUGAAGACAACAUUGGCCUUUUUAGGGAUUUCUAGGAUUGAUACUCUAUUGCAACGGAUCAUCAAUCUUUUUUCAAAAGAUGUUAUGAUUCAUCAUGAUUUGUUCUUAUGUCACAUGUCCGCCUUGAAAAGGCUUCUCCCAAGAAAUUUUUACUUUCCUUGGAGUAGACAGAUAGUUUUUGUAUUUCUGUUUUAUACGGGUAAUGGACAGAAGUGUUGAGAAAAGCAAUUGUUAUUAUACCCUUUAUGUUAUGCUUGAUAGAAUGAGAAAAACAAUAGAUUCUAAGUAACAGAAAAGGAAGCCAGCUGAAGUGCCCAAUGUUAUACUGACUUUCUUCACAUUUUAGGUUCAAGGGGUCACCAAUGGUGGUGCCCCAUUUGUGUCUGGAUGAAUGCUUACUAUCACUGUGCAAACACUUGCAUGAAGAGAAAAAAGAAAAGUCAUGCAGCAUCGUAAAUGGCCAGAACUCCAUGGAAUUCAUUUUCAAUGCCCAGGUACAUAUCGAACUCCGAUGCAAGUAUUUUUGCUGGUGAUAUCCAUUGGUGCCACAAUAGUUCACCAUCAGGAUUUGGUUUGUGGUUCGACACUUUGGUCAUUAUUUAUUUGUAUCUUCUGUAACAAAAACAAUUUGUUUUAGACUCCCGACUGGAGUUUAGAAAAUGUGGUUUCGACCUCAGGGAAUUGGGGUUUGCACAUGUUUCCUGGAGUGUUGCAUGAAUCCUGACGAGAGAUGGAUAACCUGUCACAAAAUAAUCAGAAGCAAAAUGAUCCAAACAGAAGACGAUAUUUUCCUUUUCUGCACAGUUGUAAAGGCGUUUGAACAUAUGGCUGUCCGAGGCUCUAAGAAAUAUCACAGUCGAAAUUUUUGUUUUUCUUUUUCUUUUUCUU